UCCCUGGUGGCUUAGACAGUAAAGCAUCUGUCUACAAUGCGGGAAACCCGGGUUUGAUCCCUGGGUUGGGAA
rnacentral:tRNA from 1 species